GACGAACGCUGGCGGCGUGCUUAACACAUGCAAGUCGAACGGAAAGGCCCUGCUUUUGUGGGGUGCUCGAGUGGCGAACGGGUGAGUAACACGUGAGUAACCUGCCCUUGACCUUGGGAUAACUUCAGGAAACUGGGGCUAAUACCGGAUAGGAGCUCCUGCUGCAUGGUGGGGGUUGGAAAGUUUCGGCGGUUGGGGAUGGACUCGCGGCUUAUCAGCUUGUUGGUGGGGUAGUGGCUUACCAAGGCUUUGACGGGUAGCCGGCCUGAGAGGGUGACCGGCCACAUUGGGACUGAGAGACGGCCCAGACUCCUACGGGAGGCAGCAGUGGGGAAUAUUGCACAAUGGGCGGAAGCCUGAUGCAGCAACGCCGCGUGCGGGAUGACGGCCUUCGGGUUGUAAACCGCUUUCGCCUGUGACGAAGCGUGAGUGACGGUAAUGGGUAAAGAAGCACCGGCUAACUACGUG
rnacentral:rRNA from 1 species